AUUGAACGCUGGCGGCAUGCUUUACACAUGCAAGUCGAGCGGCAGCGCGGGGGGCAACCCUGGCGGCGAGCGGCGAACGGGUGAGGAAACCAUCGGAACGUGCCCGAGAGUGGGGGGAUAACGCCGCGAAAGCGGCGCUAAUACCGCAUAUUCUCUGAGGAGGAAAGUGGGGGGACCGCAAGGCCUCACGCUCCCGGAGCGGCCGAUGUCGGAUUAGCUAGUGUGGGUAAAGGCUUACCAAGGCGACGAUCCGUAGCUGGUCUGAGAGGAUGAUCAGCCACACUGGGACUGAGACACGGCCCAGACUCCUACGGGAGGCAGCAGUGGGGAAUUUUGGACAAUGGGCGCAAGCCUGAUCCAGCCAUGCCGCGUGCGGGAAGAA
rnacentral:rRNA from 1 species